GGAAUAUUGGACAAUGGGCGAAAGCCUGAUCCAGCAAUGCCGCGUGAGUGAUGAAGGCCUUAGGGUUGUAAAGCUCGUUUACCAGGGAUGAUAAUGACAGUACCUGGAGAAUAAGCUGCGGCUAACUCCGUGCAAGCAGCCGCGGUAAUACGGAGGGAGCUAGCGUUGUUCGGAAUUACUGGGCGUAAAGCGCACGUAGGCGGCUUUUUAAGUCAGGGGUGAAAUCCCGGGGCUCAACCCCGGAACUGCCCUUGAAACUGGAAUGCUAGAAUCUUGGAGAGGCGAGUGGAGUUCCGAGUGUAGAGGUGAAAUUCGUAGAUAUUCGGAAGAACACCAGUGGCGAAGGCGACUCGCUGGACAAGUAUUGACGCUGAGGUGCGAAAGCGUGGGGAGCAAA
rnacentral:rRNA from 1 species